CUGAGAGACAUAGAGAGGUGUCUGUGAAUCCAACAUACACAAGUCUGUGUGCCUGUACACACACAGUUGCCUGUGCAGAUGUCUGGAAUAUCACUGAUGUGUCACUGGGACUCAUGGCUGUUCAUUAACUUGUUCACUGAGCACAACUGCAGCAGAUGCAAGUCUACAUGUGCACACUAUGAUGUACAAGGUGCUGCAUUGUGGGAAAAAAACAUGACCAAUUCUAUUUGAAAACGGCACCUUUGUACAUUAUACCUGAAAACCCAAGAAACCCAACCCAGCGAUCAGGUAUCACUCAACAGACUGCACAGCUGAAAUCAGAAGCAAGCUUUAUUCCUGCAGCAGGAUGGGUCCCUGUGGUCACAUGAGAAAGUGCAGGUGACUUGGUAUAGAAGGAUUUCUUCUUGCGUGAUACUGCUUUUCAGUAACUUCUAUCAUUUCAAAGAAAUUGGAAAUGCAUUGAUGAGCAGAAAA